CCUACGGGAGGCAGCAGUGGGGGAUAUUGCACAAUGGGGGAAACCCUGAUGCAGCGACGCCGCGGGGGUGAAGAAGUAUUUCGGUAUGUAAAGCCCUAUCAGCAGGGAAGAAAGAAGACGGUACCUGACUAAGAAGCCCCGGCUAACUACGUGCCAGCAGCCGCGGUAAUACGUAGGGGGCGAGCGUUAUCCGGAUUCACUGGGUGUAAAGGGAGCGUAGACGGCCGUGCAAGCCAGGAGUGAAAGCCCGGGGCCCAACCCCGGGACUGCUCUUGGAACUGUGCGGCUGGAGUGCGGGAGGGGCAGGCGGAAGUCCUGGUGUAGCGGUGAAAUGCGUAGAUAUCAGGAGGAACACCGGCGGCGAAGGCGGCCUGCUGGACCGCGACUGACGUUGAGGCUCGAAAGCGUGGGGAGCGAACAGGAUUAGAUACCCUUGUAGUC
rnacentral:rRNA from 1 species